GAUGAAUGCUGGCGGCGUGCCUAAUACAUGCAAGUCGAGCGAACGGACGAGAAGCUUGCUUCUCUGAUGUUAGCGGCGGACGGGUGAGUAACACGUGGAUAACCUACCUAUAAGACUGGGAUAACUUCGGGAAACCGGAGCUAAUACCGGAUAAUAUUUUGAACCGCAUGGUUCAAAAGUGAAAGACGGUCUUGCUGUCACUUAUAGAUGGAUCCGCGCUGCAUUAGCUAGUUGGUAAGGUAACGGCUUACCAAGGCAACGAUGCAUAGCCGACCUGAGAGGGUGAUCGGCCACACUGGAACUGAGACACGGUCCAGACUCCUACGGGAGGCAGCAGUAGGGAAUCUUCCGCAAUGGGCGGAAGCCUGACGGAGCAACGCCGCGUGAGUGAUGAAGGUCUUCGGAUCGUAAAACUCUGUUAUUAGGGAAGAACAUAUGUGUAAGUAACUGUGCACAUCUUGACGGUACCUAAUCAGAAAGCCACGGCUAACUACGUG
rnacentral:rRNA from 1 species